GACGAACGCUGGCGGCGUGCUUAACACAUGCAAGUCGAACGGUGAAGCGCCUUCCUUUUUGGUGGGUGUGGAUGAGUGGCGAACGGGUGAGUAACACGUGAGUAACCUGCCCCCUUCUUCUGGAUAACCGCAUGAAAGUGUGGCUAAUACGGGAUAUUCUGGGUCUGUCGCAUGAUGGGUCUGGGAAAGAUAUUGUUUCGGUGGGGGAUGGGCUCGCGGCCUAUCAGCUUGUUGGUGGGGUGAUGGCCUACCAAGGCGGUGACGGGUAGCCGGCCUGAGAGGGUGGACGGUCACACUGGGACUGAGACACGGACCAGACUCCUACAGGAGGCAGCAGUGGGGAAUAUUGCACAAUGGGCGCAAGCCUGAUGCAGCGACGCCGCGGGAGGGAUGGAGGCCUUCGGGUUGUGAACCUCUUUCGCCAGUGAAGCAGGCCUGCCUCGUUUGUGGGUGGGUUGACGGUAGCUGGAUAAGAAGCGCCGGCUAACUACGUG
rnacentral:rRNA from 1 species